AGUCUAGCUAUUAAUUUUUUUUUCAGGUGUGUCUAUUCCGGUGAAUUCUUUAAAGUGUUUCGAAUAUGCAUGUAAUGGUACAAACUGUCUUAGUACAGAAGUUGUCAAUAACCCCUUGCUUAUAAAGAAAUGUGAAAGAGUUAUCUACAAAGGUUGUUAUACGGUGACGACUACUUUCAAUGAAUUUUCCUUGACAACGGCAGGAUGUGUUGAUAAACAAUUUGAAUGCUCGACUGGCACGUGCUCUGGUACAUUUGUCAGAACAAAGGUGUCUUGCUGUAACACGGAUCUUUGUAAUGAUGGGAUCGUGUAUUCACAUUCAGACAAGAUCAUACUAAGUUGGAUAUGUUUCAUAUUAUGUGUGAUAUUUAGCUUUAAUGACCUUGGCGAUUUUUGAACAGGAAUGAUUUGUUCCGAGUGCCCUACUAGUGAUGCAGGGUUGUGUCACACUUUGUCCAGAUCACACUUUGUCUAGAUUUUUGCCUUGUUGAAAUUCGUACAUCUUGAAAGAUGCGUCUCUCAGAAGGAAAGAACAAUAAAUAUUUGGUUGUUAAAUUAAACUGUUUAUAUAAAUUUUAGAUAGUU